CCUACGGGAGGCAGCAGUGAGGAAUAUUGGUCAAUGGACGCAAGUCUGAACCAGCCAUGCCGCGUGCAGGAAGACGGCUCUAUGAGUUGUAGACUGCUGUUGUACGAGGGUAAACGCAGAUAAGCGUAUCCGUCUGAAAGUAUCGUACGAAUAAGGAUAGGCUAACUCCGUGCCAGCAGCCGCGGUAAGACGGAGGAUUCAAGCGUUCUCCGGAUUUAUUGGGUUUAAAGGGUGCGUAGGCGGUCGGAUAAGUUAGAGGUGAAAGCCCGAGGCUCAACGUCGGAAUUGCCUCUGAUACUGUUCGGCUAGAGCGUAGUUGCGGUAGGCGGCAUGUGUUGUGUCGCGGU
rnacentral:rRNA from 1 species